GAUCCUGGCUCAGGAUGAACGCUGGCGGUGUGAGUUUGAUCCUGGCUCAGAACGAACGCUGGCGGCAGGCUUAACACAUGCAAGUCGAACGCCCCGCAAGGGGAGUGGCAGACGGGUGAGUAACGCGUGGGAAUCUACCGUGCCCUGCGGAAUAGCUCCGGGAAACUGGAAUUAAUACCGCAUACGCCCUACGGGGGAAAGAUUUAUCGGGGUAUGAUGAGCCCGCGUUGGAUUAGCUAGUUGGUGGGGUAAAGGCCUACCAAGGCGACGAUCCAUAGCUGGUCUGAGAGGAUGAUCAGCCACAUUGGGACUGAGACACGGCCCAAACUCCUACGGGAGGCAGCAGUGGGGAAUAUUGGACAAUGGGCGCAAGCCUGAUCCAGCCAUGCCGCGUGAGUGAUGAAGGCCUUAGGGUUGUAAAGCUCUUCACCGGAGAAG
rnacentral:rRNA from 1 species